rnacentral:misc_RNA from 1 species
AAAACUGUUUUACCUGGUAGAGGCUUCUUGUGGGUCCUUGAAGUGUCCACCUUAUGUUGCAGGAAGAGAACUUGUGUGUGCUGUUUGUUCAAAAAAUUAAAACAUAAUUGAUAUUUAUGAAAAACUAAUGUUUUCAAUCUUGUAUAUAGCACGUGUAGUUUUCAUUGUCUGGGAUAUUUAGGUUUUGCUUUGUUUUGAAAAAUACGGCUAUGAUUUUUUGUUGUAUGUGUGAUUCGUUUCCAUAAAAUCUUUACGACGUU